GUUAAUUUCCAUUUAUUGAACUCCAGAAUAUUACAAUAAUUCACUAAGAUUUAUAUUCUUAUUAACAUAACACUAAGAUUCAUAUUCUUAAGAAAACACUAUUUCUUUACGCUGUUUCACAUUUACAGGAAGAUAUUUCAGCGCUGGAAAUCUAAACUUAGAAUAAUAAUACACAAGCAGAAUGCUUUAUCUUUAAGCUAGUAUUCAAAUUAACAUUGAUGAAAAUAAAGUCAAUAGUCAAAACAAAUAGCUACUAUUUCUAAAAGAUGUCUACUACCAGUAAAUAUUAUAUAACCAUACUUUACAAUUAUUUUGUUCAUGUGACAAAGCCCCCCCCCCCCAGCAAAAACGAGAACUCUUACAAUCGUGAUGUGUUAGGAAACCAUUAAAAUCAAUUUACUUAAUCUUAUUUGGCACUAUACGUGCAA